rnacentral:tRNA from 1 species
GAGGGUAUAGCUCAGUUGGUAGGCUGCAUGCCUAGCAUGUAUGAGGUUCUGGGUUCAAUUCCCAGUACCUCUA